UCGACGUCAAGCGGUUUCGUCGUUAAACGGAGUGCCCGUCUUGCGGAGCACCACUGUAUAUCUUCUCUUAAGAUAGUGAGCUGGAUGAGGUUAUAUACUGGAUUGCUUGCAGCUCAGAUUCUUUAGAUCAGGAGGGAAAUGAUACCCAUUCUAAACAAGGAGCGGGUAUCAGGAUUUAAGGUUAAGCUGUAAUUGAGCAUCUGUAGCUGGUAUUGGUAGCUGGUACUGACCAAAGUCUGGGAGGCAGUGGAAGACAGGAGGGCCUGACGUGCUCUGGUCCAUGGGGUCACAAAGAAUCGGACAUGGCUUAAUGACUAAACAGCAAACAGCAGCUGGUACUGGUGUUCCUCUUUGCAAUUUUUCCACCAAAUGAAGAUUUGGAUUUUUUAGAGUGUGCAAGCCCCUCCCUCUUUGAAUAAAACAGGAAAAAAUAGGCAGCUUUCCACAGUUUGCCAAGAUAACAGCACUGUGGUCAGUUUCCCACAUAGUACAUGCUGAUUAACUCAUUCAGGAGAGUGAUUAUUGUGUGGUUGCAAAAGAUCUAAGUAUCCUGUGGCACUUUAAAGACACAUAUGCAAAUUAUAGCAUAAACUUUCAUGUAUUUCAUUAGAAGCAUGAGUAUUAUGUAGCAUUUCAGAUAUACAUGUGACUGAAGGUGGUAUUUAUAGAUAAUGAAGGAAGAGGAGAAUUAAAUGCUCAAAGUGCUGAUUUUACUAAGCUGGUAAUUCACCAAACGGUUGCUAGUAGUGCAAACAUCAUUGUACUGGAUGAGCCAGUUAAUCCAUUAUCUUGCAUUUGUGUACAAAAGGUAUGUGGAGAGGACAUUGCUUCUCUGUCUUUUGAAUCUGCCUUCAUGAUGAUUGGGAGUUUCCAGGAACUUGCUUCCAAAGACACUUGUUACAACUUGUCUCUCAAGUGAUGUGUUGUAGAAGUCUUUUUCCUCCUAGGGAAAAAACAAGUGGUGCUUAGUAGAGAACUCUUUUGAUUCAUUUCAAAUCUGUGGGAGGUUUUCCCCUUUGAUAAAAGUAUCCUCCAGCUAUUCCUGCUCUUGAAGAGAAGCAGCAAGAGGACUUCAGCACAGCAGUUACCUAGUAGUAGAAUGUGGUGUGAUAUCUGGAUGUCUGGCCCUUUUAAAAAGGUGGUCCUACUGAAUGCUUAUUAUGAUGGUUUGUGAAGCAGAUCUAAUUGCGAAGAUACAGUAAUGUGCUUUUGAUGUGUCAAAAUGCUGUAGAAUCAUUUCCCUUGCUGCUUCAUUAGUACAUAAGCACCAUGGCAACAGCUACAAAAUAGAAUACUUAGAUGUCUGAAAAACACCUUGAUAAAAUGUAUUGAUGGUACCUUGAGCUUGUAGAAAAGGAGAAGGAGUUAUUUUAUGAUACUGUAUUUCACAUUGUUGCCUUCAGGCUUUUAGAAUAUUCCAAGUAACUCCCAUAUUUCUGCCUUUAUUGAGUGUUCUUUUUGAUUCACAGAUAGUUUCAUCAAAUGUUCAGACCUGAAACAAACAAUAUUUCUUUCUUUCUGUCAUGAUAGGGUCUGUGGCAUUGAAAUCUUUCUGUGUUAUUUCAAAAAAGAUAUGUACUGUUAAGAAAGUCAUAUAAACUCAUUGUUAGGAAAGGAGAUAAAGCUGAGUCACAAAGCCUCAGAACAUGUUUCUUAUUCUUGUCUCUGUCUCCAUCUGCAUGAACAUUAAAGGGCUACUGAUAAAAAGAAAAGAGAGAUAGUAAUGCUAGUCUCAAGUAGCUCCUAUGACUAAGCUCUGUUUAAAAAGUGUAGUGGUAUGGCACUUUCAUAUACUGUAUUUCUGUAGUCACAAUUAGUGCCUAGAUGAGUGGAAAACUAGAAAUGCAGCAUUCUCACCCUCUUCAAGAAAACAUUAAGGUGUUCUCACUGUUGUUGAGGGUGUUAAGAGUAUGUAUAACUCAGCAAGCUAUACUAAGAAAAUUGCAAUCUAUAGUACCGUGGCACAGUGAGGAGAAAGUGAGUAAAUUGAAAACAAAGGGAGAAAUUCUAAUUUUGAAAAGAGGAUAGAGAGAUAGAUGUUCAUAGGAAAUUAAAAUGAAAGACAAAUCCAGUAUAAAGAACAGAAAAGAGGUAGAUAUGAUUGGAUCCAUGUGCUGAGUAAAAAGGAGCAGGUGGCAGAGUUAUGAGCAGAAGAAAGUUGAACAUAGGUGGAAGUAAAAAAAAUAGUAUUACUGUACAGUAAUAUGUUUUAAGAAUGAUUAUGGUGGUGAAAAUGCCAGAAAUACUAAAGAAUUGAAAUUGUCAAGCAUAGGUAUGGAGUUAAAUUUAAAAGAGAUGGAUUGAGUUUCAUGCCCAAAUUAUCAUCGCUGUGAAAGUGCUUAACAGUUUAAUUCAAAUAUGACACCAAAAGAAAAAGAGAGAAAUGAAAAAAGAAUGAAUGAAAAUAUUAUAGGGCCGCCUGUGUUAAGGCUGGGCCUAAUGAAUUGCAUUCCUCUCUUAUAACGUUAAAUUGAAUAGGGUGCUGGCAGUGGGUUCUAUGUCUUAGGUUCUGAAAGCAACUCAACAGAUCUGAAAGUAAGGAAUGUAGGAAAGAUUUGAGGUAGAAAUGUUAAGUUUAGAGGAUUUCCUCAGUGCUGUUCAUCCAUUUUGAUAGGUAGCAUCUGUUUCUUUGUAGACUUUGCAGUAGUUAAGUUGUUGGGUGAUUUCUCCGAUUUUGCUGCGUCUUUCAGGAAAUAGUUGUGUAUAUGUCAUCUCCCUGACAUAGUAAAGGCUGUGUGUGUGUGUGUGUGUGUGUGUGUGUGUGUUGAAUAAAAAUAUGGUUUUGAGGCAUCCUAUAAAAGCUAAUCCUGAGUCUGUUUAGUAGAAACAUAUGUUGUCCUCCUAGAGGUUUUAAUGUGGGAUAGUUUGGUUGUUGGGAAAAGAGUUAUUAUGUUCAUGUUAGUUGGGGAAAGACUGAGGACAAGUGAUGAAAACAGGAGAUGCUGUAUUCAUAGUACUUUAAAUAUAUGCAUGAUGCAUUGUUAUACUGAGUUGUCUACAUAUUUCUUAAUUAUCCUAAACAUGAUAAGUCUGUUGUUAGUAAACUCCAUCCCUGUGCUUGGGGGAAGUCCAGAUGUAGAAACAUUGUUAGUGUUAGAGUCUGAGACAUGAUUCCUACACAAAACCACUUCUCUCCUUUGGAAAUAUAAAUAUUGGGCAAGUGAAUAAUUGUGCAACAAACAACAUCCACUUCCACUUUAAAAAACUGGUGUUUUAAAUCUCUCUUAGGGAAAAAGUCUCUGUAAGAAAGAAAUCAUGAGAAGAAGCUUGUGGGAGGGAGGAAUUAGGAGUUCCGUUUGAGUCUACUACACAAAGGUGCUUUUGGUUGGAGACUGCCCUGAUUAUAGCAAUUUAUCUUCUGAGUUCUUUUUUGUUUCAGAGACUUACAAAGGCUACAAGAAUUUGUGGCACCGAUGCUGAAACUUGGAUGAAAGCUGAACCCGCUCACUGACCCUAAAUAUAGGGAAAAAAAUGCCACAAUUUAGCUCCACACCAGGAGAACACAGCAUCAUAUUAUGUCCAUUGGCGUUGUGCUGGUGGUAACACAAUGUUAGUCUUUGUCCUGUGUAUUCUUUAACCAACUAAAAGGAAACAUUCUUCUCCUAUGGCAGAGCUCUGGACUAAUUGACCUUUAAGGUUAUCUCGAACUUUGUCUUUUCAUGUGGCUGGUGUUGGUGGGUGGUUGCGGUUGGUGGGCUGUUUGUUUCAGUUGCCUGUGUGCUUUUGUGGCUCUGUUGUCUGAAUUCCAGUGAGUGAAAAUCUUGGAGUCAGGUCCCACUACUCUGCUACUGACUGCUUCUGGGCAGCGGUGUAGCUUCAAUGAACAGCCUGGUGUACCAUAUUGAUAUUGCUUCAAUAGUAAAUGUGGCCCUCAAAAGCUGCAGUUUCCUUGUGCUCUGGAGCAUGAAUGAACUUGGAGAGUCACUAACAUGUAGAGUGUUUGUAUUCUGUGCCUCACUGAUAGAGUAUCAGUCUUGCAUGCAGAAGGCCCCAAGGGUCAAUGUCUCCAGGUAAGGUUAGCGAAGAAGUCUACCUGAACUGCAGGAGAAUUGCAGAUAUUCAGUAUGGAUGGGAUUUGUGGACCAGUCAAUGUAAGGCAGCUUCCUAAUUCUCCUUCUGCCUGAAAUUGCCAGGAGUCAUUAAGGCAAAAGGGAGGUAGAGCCAGCUGUGCACAUACAGCAUAAAGUGUGGUUUCUUGGCUUGAUUAAGCUGUGCACCCCUGAUUCCUUUCCUGGGGGAGCCUCACUGCUGAUGUCUGGAGCUUUUGGUGCUUCUAUUGUCAGAAGCAUAUUUGCAUUGAAAUACAAGGGGUGAGCUAUGUGGCCUAUAAAGGUAUUACCUAUUGUAAACAUAAUUGCAGUGGGUCUCAUAGGGAGGCUCCCGUAGGCAUCUGGUGCGGCCACUGUGGGAUACUGGAAGCUGGACUAGACGGGCCCUUGGCCUGAUCCAGCAGGACCCUUCUUAUGUUCUUAUGAGGCAUUUCAAGAGUCAUGGUGUAGACUUAAGAAUGGAACUUGGGAGAUCCCAGGCUCUUCAGGUGUCAUCUGGGAAAGCAUAUUAACCUAAACAUAAGGUCAGUGGCAAAAUUAGAGUAGAUAUUCUCCAAAUCAGCUUCGUGGCUGUCAGUGCCAGUUUUUGAGCAGCAGCGGCUUGUCUAAGACGGGGACAGUUUACGAGCUUGAGAGAAAUGCAAGUUUCUGUGCAAUCUGCUGGUUCUUCACAUAAAUCACAUGCGUGAUCUUUGGGCACGAGUCUCUAUUUGCCUCUCACUGGAGGGGAGGAUAACCUGUCCCUGGAUUGUUGGUUUAAAUGGAUGAAAAAUUAAGACUAUUUUCUAUUCUGAUUCCAGAAAAAAAAAUCUAUCUUGUUCAUUACAUUUAUUUGCACCUUUCCUCCAGAGAGUUUCCAGCAGUGUAGGUAGCUCUCCUCUUCUCCAGUUUAUCCCAACACCAGGUAGGUCAGUCUGAGAGAGAGUGACAUACUCAGGGUUAUAAAAUGCAUGCCAUUGCUCAGAGGGAUUUGAACCAAAGUGUUACCAGUCUGUAGUCAAGUGCUAAUCACUGCAUCACAUUGGCUAUACAGUAGAACUGCCAUAUCUGCAGAAAAUAGGUUCCAAGCCUGCACUCACCAUGGAUGCUGAAAAGCGCAGAUAUCAAAACCCUAUACAGCGGUGCUUUGCCUCGCAUGUUUCACAAGAUGGUUUCCCCCCACUGGAACACACAUUAAUUACUUAAGACAGUGCGGGAGAAAGUGUAUGUUGCUGGCUUUCCAAAGCCUCCUGAAAAAAUAGCAACAUACACUUUCUGCCCCACUUUUUUAGGGAGGCUCCCAGAGGCAUCUGGUGGGACCACUGUGGGAUACCAGAAGCUGGUCUAGAUAUAAAAAAUAAGUCUUAUGUAAUUAAUGUGUUUCAAUGGGAGAAAACACCAUCUUGCAAAACGUUGCCAAUGGGGCUAUGGCUGCAAAUUUAAAUGAUAGAGGAUGGUGAAAACAGCCAGGAACCAAAGGGUAAAGAGAUUGUAAAAACACAAGGGUAAUCCCCUAUUAACAUAAAUUAUACAGUUGAGUUCC